UACAGAGGUCUCAAGCGUUGUUCGGAUUCAUUGGGCGUAAAGGGUGCGUAGGCGGCGCGGUAAGUCGGGUGUGAAAUCUCGGAGCUUAACUCCGAAACUGCAUUCGAUACUGCGGUGCUUGAGGACUGGAGAGGAGACUGGAAUUCAUGGUGUAGCAGUGAAAUGCGUAGAGAUCAUGAGGAAGACCAGUGGCGAAGGCGGGUCUCUGGACAGUUCCUGACACUGAGACCCGAAGGCCAGGGGAGCAAACGGG
rnacentral:rRNA from 1 species